UGAGGAAUAUUGGUCAAUGGCCGGAAGGCUGAACCAGCCAUCCCGCGUGCAGGAUGACGGCCCUAUGGGUUGUAAACUGCUUUUGUACCUGAAGAAACCUGGUUACGUGUAACCAGUUGCCGGUAAGGUAUGAAUAAGCAUCGGCUAACUCCGUGCCAGCAGCCGCGGUAAUACGGAGGAUGCGAGCGUUAUCCGGAUUCAUUGGGUUUAAAGGGUGCGCAGGUGGGGAAAUAAGUCAGUGGUGAAAUACUGCCGCUUAACGGUAGAAUUGCCAUUGAUACUGUUUUUCUUGAGUAUGGUUGAGGUAGGUGGAAUGUGUUGUGUAGCGGUGAAAUGCAUAGAUAUGACACAGAACGCCGAUUGCGAAGGCAGCUUACUAAGCCAUUACUGACGCUGAGGCACGAAAGCGUGGGGAUCGAACAGG
rnacentral:rRNA from 1 species